rnacentral:lncRNA from 1 species
GCUACAGGUGGGACAUACAGAAGUUCCCAGUAUAGGGGGUCGAAGUAGAGCUACAGCAGCCAGGCUACACCACAGCCACAGCAAUGAGGGAUCCAAGCCACAUCUGCAACCUAUACCACAGCUCAUGGCAAUGCUGGAUCCUUAACCUAUGGAUCAAGGCCACAGACUGAACCUGCAUCCUGCAUCCUCAUGGACACUAGUCAGGUUUGUUUCCACUGAGCCACAAUGGAAACUCCCUUUAAGAAUUUUUAAAUAAGAUUCUUUUAAAGCUAAAAGUAAAAAAUCAAACACAUAAUUAAAGGACUGCCCUCAAAAGACAGGGACAGUUAUAGCAGUCCCAGUGAUUACAGUAAAUUCAGAUAGAUUUGAAAAGGGAAAAGGAAGAUCAGUAAUAGUGUAUUUCAUACAACAUUAAAUAAUCUGCAAGAUGAUCUGAUGGGAAGACAGGAAUAGUACAUGCUCUACUGAAACAUACCUGGGAAGUUUGUGGAGAUAAGACUAAGGAAGAGCACUAAGUCACAUUAUGGGAAGCCAAUAACUCAGACACAGUCCAGGCCUAUAUUAGAUGUUGGGCUUCCCCAUAACUGCAAUUACCUUACUGAGAGUGGUAAGGGUUGGCAGUAAUUACUACACAAAGACUUCUUAAUUGCCACGAUGGCAAAGUCUACAGACUUUCAAAGGCACUAGUAGAAGUAUGGUAGCAAAGUAUCUGGGCCAAAAAGGAAAAGAGGCGUUUGAUCUCAACGAUGUUAGCUCUAUAGGACAGGGAAAUAUUCAACUUAAAUGUGUUAACAACUCAACUGGGGACUGUCUGAAAGGAACAAAUGGAUUCACAGACAGCCAAUUUUGACACAAAUAAGUAACAGAAAGCAAUGUGUCUGCUCUGACCAAAGCCUAGAAAACAAAUAAUGAAGAAAGGCAAAGUUAGAGGAGCACAGGCCUUAUAGGAACCCCUUAAAUGUCAUGCUUCAGCUGAAACAAAUGGAAAGGAAAAAAGAAAGGCUCCUCAAAGAAGUAAGAUUAAUUUAUAUAAGGAAUUUCAUAGCAGGACAGGAUUGUGAUGAGGACACAAAGGUAUAGAUAGACCAGGAGGAUCAAAACUGGAGCGCAGCAUGCAAAGCCACAAACUUGCUUUGCACAAGUGCCCAUUACAAGUGUGGAUCACUCUCCUCCCAAGAGGGAGGGACAACUUUGUCACUAGACAAAACUCAAUCAUCCCAAGAGGGAGGGACAACUUUGUCACUAGACAAAACUCAAUCAUUUGAGCACUGGGUAGCCAGGACCACAGGGUUCAAAAACAAAAUGAAAAUUAAUCUUUAAAUGUGACAACAAGGAAAAAAGAAACCUCUAGGAGAGAGAAAUCCCCCUGACAAAUUUCUAACAUUUUACCCAAGUAAAACAAUGUCUCAUGCCAACAAAGCAUUAUCAUGCACAGGUGAAAUUCCUUCCCUAUCCAGUAAACACAGUGUCCCUACUGGCCUCUGGAUAGGUGAUUCUUCCCAACUGACUUUAGUCUUAGAGUCUAUCAGUUACGAACAGCUGACACAGACUGGCAACCUGUCAACAUCAAAAGCCAAGAUUUUGUUUUCUUUGAAAACUCUGUUCCCCCAGAAACGGAAAUUUCUCUGUUUUUGGCUGGAAACAAUGUGGGUUAGGGCUGUAUAAUAAUAUGUCAGCCUCUGCACUAUUUAUUGUAGAGAUAAGAGAUGUACUUGUAUCUUUUCAGGUUUGUGGGGAUGGGGUGAUGAAGUUCUCUUCUUGCACAGCAGGUUAAGGAUCCAGUGUUGUCACUGCAGCGACUUGGGUCAUUGCUGAGGCGCAGGAUGGAUACCUAGCCUGGGAACUUCCACAUGUCACAGGCACAGCCAAAAAUAAAUAAGUAAAACAAAAAUAAAACCAAAAAAAGCCCUAGAGACCUUUGACAUAAUGAAAACAUGUGACACCAAUGAAAUUGGAGAAAUUCAGAUUUGAAAUUGGAGAAAUUCAGAUUUGGAGGUGCUAAACUAACUUAAUCUAUUCCAAAGGAAAACAGUCUAUGCUAAAGUUGCUGAAGAAGUUAUCCUGACUUGGAGUUCCCGUUGUGAGGCAGUGGUUAAUGAAUCCGACUAGGAACCAUGAGGUUGCAGGUUCGAUCCCUGGCCUUGCUCAGUGGGAUAAGGAUCCAGUGUUACCGUGAGCUGUGGUGUAGGUUGCAGAUCAGAUGUGGCCCGGAUCCCGUGUUGCUGUGGCCCUGGUGUAGGCGGGUGGGUACAGCUCCAAUUAGACCCCUAGCCUGGGAGCCUCCAUAUGCCGCAAGAGCAGUCCAAGAAAUGGCAAAAAGACAAAAAAAAAAAAAAAAAAAAAGUUAUCCUGACUUGACCCAAACAUUUAAGAGAAUGGCUUCUGGCUGAGACUGAGCAGUAUAAGAAACCAGAGAGCAGACUUUUAUAUUUCAUUUGCUUUAAUUUUAAUUCAUAGGGAGAUCAUAGCUGUGGGAAUUUAAUAAGAGGAGUUCAUAACAAACAAAUUUGGGGGAUUUUCUGUUGCUAACAUGGAAUGGGAGGGCUUUAAGCUGUCAUUCUGUUCAAUGCAGACAAUCUGGAGUGCAAUGAAUGACAUUUUCGCUGAGAAAAAUUUGAGAAAUGGAAGUGAAUUUCCAGUUCAGGGUUAACUUAAGAGAUACCCAUUUCAAAUCUUUUUGGAGUAAAAAUUUAAAUAACCUAAACUAGUCUUCAGAGGAUACACAAAGGAGCAGUUAUUGAUAGAGAUGCCUCGUCAGCAUUCAAGAUAGAACAAAGAACUCCCUGUGCCAGUAAGAAAACAAAGCAUCUAAAAGACAAAGCAAACUUGGGAAUAUGAGCUCACAGUACUUUGUCCAGCUAAUUUCUGUGAGAAGUUGUGGUGGUAAUUUGGUGUUUAAAUUCCACCAUUUAAUCCUCUAAAAUUCUCAACUUGGGGAGUUUACAUAAACACCAAUAGUCAAAUGAGAGGUAAUGAAACACCCUACCGACAGAUGGGCAAGUACUUGGUAGUCCCUCAUUUGCAGUGUUUCUCCAGUAAAAUAAAGUUAGAAGAUGAGGCUUUGCUUAAGAAGCCUACCCCUGCAAAUCUCAAUAAUCUAAAUUUUGUAAUCUGCAUAUUCAUAUGUCUGCAAACUAAAAAUUGGGCCCAAGUACAAUAUACAGAGUCCACCCUAAGACACAUCUUACCUGUCCUGCUUAGCAGAUAGAGACCUUAAGCAGAAGUACAUGAAUAAUCUCAUCAUUAAUAAAAUAGCAAUGUCUUAAGUUCUAAAGUAAUUUUAUAAGCAACUUCUCACUCAUUGGGCAAAAUCAGGAAGAGAGGUGUGAACUCAAGGUCUCUCCGGCCUUCCCUUUGUAAGAUGUGAAGGUCAGAAAUGUUCUUCCAAUUCUGUCAAUCCCUUUCCUCUCUGUUCCCCAAACCACAUAUACACAGAGACAGACAGACAGACACAAAUUAUUCUCUUUUCAGGGAAAAGCCUAGGUCAGUGGUUUUCAAACCUUUUUUAAAAAGCACCUUAAUCUGGAGUUCCCAUCGUGGUGCAGUGGAAACGAAUCCGACUGGGAACCAUGAGGUUGUGGGUUGGAUUUCUGGCCUGGCUCAAUGGGUUAAGAAUCUGGCCAUGCCUGGAGCUGCGGUGCAGGUUGCAGACAAGGCUUGGAUGCUGCAUUGCUGUGGCAUAGGCUGGCAGCUGUAGCUACCACUGGACCCCUAGCCUGAGAAACUCCAUUGCCACAGGUGCGGCCCUAAAAAAAACCACACACACAAAAAAAAAAUAUAUAUAUAUAUAUAUAUAUAAAAUCAUUGCAAUUCUCACUUAAAAUAAAAAAUGAAAAAAAGCAGCUUAAUCUGUUUCUAAAUGAUGUGAUUUCAUGUAAUUUAUACAUACAGAAUGGUUUCUCUAUAGCCAGAACUAGCUUGGCAUCCAAGAUAUGGAAGAGGCUCCCCUCGCUAAUGUGAUUAAUUCAUUUACAAAAAUUUUGUUUCUGAUCUCAGCAUUUAGUCUUUCUGGAGGUGGGUUCUGCUAGUGGUUUAGAGAUUUGGGGACCCAAAAGAAGAGUGAUUUAACCAUGUGACAUAACAACAAACAUUUCCAAAGAACUAAAAGUUAAGACUGUAACCUGGCCAUUUUGGCCUCCUCAUGCCACUAGGUAAAAAGUUCUCACAUUUGGAUAGGUGUCUGAUCAUGGCCAUCAGGAAAAAAACUUGCUCUUCUCCAUGCAGUGAGAGAUGACUGGAAGUCAUGGGACCCCCAUUGGGUACCUUCUGGUUGUUGGGAGAGACAGUCGUCCAUGGGACUCUUGAGUUCCUGCUUAUCUUCCUAGACAUGCCAAAAAUGCAAGGCCCUACCACUUUUUACCCAUGAAGUCACCAUUUCUCAGAGUUUUGUUAGCAGCGACUGACCAUAAGGGUGAGAUAAUGUCUCCACUCCAGGAUAAGUGGAUUUGCCUAUUGCUUGCUUUAAAAAUGACAGAGUUCCCAUUGUGGCUUAGUAGUAACAAACCUGACUAGUGCCCAUGAAGAUGCAGGUUCAAUUUCUGGCUCCCGCUCAGUGGGUUAAGGAUCCAGCGUCAUCAUUAACUGCGGUAUAAUCACAGAUGCAGCUCAGAUCUGGUGUUGCUGUGGCUGUGAUGUAGGCCAGAGGCUGCAACUCCAAUUCAGCUCCUAGCCUGGGAACUUCCAUAUGCCGUACCGCAGCUCAAAAAAAAACAAAAACAAAAACAAAAACAGAUUCCUUUCAUUCAGUGUUCAUUACUCAGCUGCAACACAAACCCACUGUGUGUCUAACAUCCAUUGGGCCCCACCAUGUCAUCCUCAUAGUUACUUGUGGGGCAAGGGAAACUGAUGCAAUGAAGUCUACUGUCUCUGACCUAGGAAUCUCAUGUCUUCUGCCAGCAUCUACUAAACAUCUACAGGCUAACUAAUCAGCUUUUAAGUAGAAUAAAAUAAAUCCAAGGCCCAACACUAGUACUGCCAAAUCUAGUGG